rnacentral:lncRNA from 1 species
UAUAUCUAAAAUAAUAUUUUCAAAUUUACUUUAUGUGCUUUGUUUAUUUAUUAAUUUGAAGAUAAAAAUUGAAGAUAGCUUUACAUCUAUCUUUAAAAUCAUGAAAAAAAUUCUCCAAAAUCUUGAUGUAAGUUGAAUCCAUCUAUUUAAUAUAAAAUCCUUGGACAAUUUAUAAUAGAAAUAGAUAUUAUUAAUAAAAAGUUUAAUUAUCUCUUCACUUAUAAUAGAUUU